UACGUAGGCAGCGAGCGUUGUUCGGAGUUACUGGGCGUAAAAGGGGUGUGUAGGCGGUUGUUUAAGUUUGGUGUGAAAUCUCCCGGCUCAACUGGGAGGGUGCGCCGAAUACUGAAUGACUAGAGUGCGGGAGAGGAAAGUGGAAUUCCUGGUGUAGCGGUGAAAUGCGUAGAUAUCAAGAGGAACACCAGUGGCGAAGGCGAGUCCCUGGACAACACCUGACACUGAGGCACGAAAGCUAGGGGAGCAAACAGG
rnacentral:rRNA from 1 species